GAUGAAGAACGUAGCGAAAUGCGAUACGUAAUGUGAAUUGCAAAUUCAGUGAAUCAUCGAGUCUUUGAACGCACAUUGCGCCCCCUGGUAUUCCGGGGGGCAUGCCUGUCCGAGCGUCAUUGCUGCCCUCAAGCACGGCUUGUGUGUUGGGCCCCGUCCUCCGAUCCCGGGGGACGGGCCCGAAAGGCAGCGGCGGCACCGCGUCCGGUCCUCGAGCGUAUGGGGCUUUGUCACCCGCUCUGUAGGCCCGGCCGGCGCUUGCCGAUCAACCCAAAUUUUUAUCCAGGUUGACCUCGGAUCAGGUAGGGAUACCCGCUGAACUUAAGCAUAUCCAAUAAGCGGAGGA
rnacentral:misc_RNA from 1 species